rnacentral:rRNA from 1 species
AGUGAACGCUGGCGGUAGGCCUAACACAUGCAAGUCGAACGGCAGCACAGUAAGAGCUUGCUCUUACGGGUGGCGAGUGGCGGACGGGUGAGGAAUACAUCGGAAUCUACUUUUUCGUGGGGGAUAACGUAGGGAAACUUACGCUAAUACCGCAUACGACCUACGGGUGAAAGCAGGGGAUCUUCGGACCUUGCGCGAUUGAAUGAGCCGAUGUCGGAUUAGCUAGUUGGCGGGGUAAAGGCCCACCAAGGCGACGAUCCGUAGCUGGCCUGAGAGGAUGAUCAGCCACACUGGAACUGAGACAAGGUCCAGACUCCUACGGGAGGCAGCAGUGGGGAAUAUUGGACAAUGGGCGCAAGCCUGAUCCAGCCAUACCGCGUGGGUGAAGAAGGCCUUCGGGUUGUAAAGCCCUUUUGUUGGGAAAGAAAAGCAGCAGGUUAAUACCCCGCUGUUCUGACGGUACCCAAAGAAUAAGCACCGGCUAACUUCGUG